rnacentral:rRNA from 1 species
UAUUAUUUAAAAUGUAAAUAAAAUUAUUAAAGUAGUAAUAGUUAUGUUCUUGAAACUUAAAAAAUUUGGCGGUAUUUUAAUCUUUCCAGAGGAACCUGUUUUGUAAUCGAUAAUCCACGAUGGACCUUACUUAAGUUUGUAAUCAGUUUAUAUACCGUCGUUAUCAGAAUAUUUUAUAAGAAUAAUAAUAUUCAAUAAUUUUUAAAAAAAUUUAUAUCAGAUCAAGGUGUAGCUUAUAUUUAAGUAAUAAUGGGUUACAAUAAAUAUAUUUAAACGGAUAAAAUUAUGAAAAAAUUUUUGAAGGUGGAUUUGGAAGUAAAAUUAUAAAGAUAAAUAAUUUGAUUUUAGCUCUAAAAUAUGUACACAUCGCCCGUCGCUCUUAUUAUUAAGGUAAGAUAAGUCGUAACAUAGUAGAUGUACUGGAAAGUGUAUCUAGAAUGA